AGCUUUAUGCAGUGGCAGUAUCAUAGCCAAUGGUUUAUCCGAGGCGCGAUUAUUGCUAACUGAAAACUUAUCCCAUUCAUGUUGUCAGAAAUCACAAGAUUUCAUCUUUCAUUUUAACAGCGGAGUAGUAUUCC